rnacentral:rRNA from 1 species
AUGGACUGUAAUAAUUGGAUUGAUUUUGGGCGGGCUGACGAUCCCGGCGGUGUACGAGAGGCUGAGCAUGGAGCGAUACAUGAGGCUGGCGUCCGUAACCUCUACACAUACGAGGUCUUGUACCAGAGCUUCUCCCUCACCUGCUACCUCAGCGCCAGAGACCACCUCAUCGAGCUGCUCAAGGAACCAUAA